ensembl:lncRNA SMAD9-IT1 SMAD9 intronic transcript 1
AGACAAAUUGAGAUGGCUAGUAUGGAUGACUCUUCUGAGGGUUUUUGCCAGAAAUGGGAUAAAAACAUAGGGCAGUAGCUGGUGGGGGGUGGAGAAGUAUCUUGAAGGUAGAAAGGCCAAGUAUGUGGAUGCAGGUCCUGUGGAAACUUAUUUCUGAUGUAUUCAUUUUUCUCAUUAAAAUACAAAAUAAAUAUCAGUUGCAGGUAUGGACAGGGAAAAAGGGGUUGCAGGUUUUAGUGGGGAGGAGCGAUCACCUAGGAGGGGGACAUGAGAGAAGGGACUGGGGGGUGGGUUGUGACUGCCGGGGACAUCACAGGUCCACUUGAGGUUCUCAGUCAUGAAAGUAAAAUGUGAUCAGGCAGCAUGGUUGUGUUGAAAUCCAAGUUUUAAAAAACUCUACAGAGAAUCACUGCUCCCAGUCACAGAACUGAUUUACUUGGCUGUGAUCUCCCUUCAUUUUUAAAUAUCCUUUCAUUGAUAUAUAACAUAUAGAGAAAAAUAUGC